GGGAACGUCCCAGGGCGAGUUCACAGAGACUGCCGCUCUUCUCCGUCCCGCUCUCCUGCUGCCUUUAGGGCCUUAGGCUCGCUGCCUUAAGAAAUGGCCGAGGAGUCCAGCAAAGCCGUUAAGUACUACACGCUGGAAGAAAUCCAGAAGCACAACCACAGCAAGAGCACCUGGCUGAUCAUACACUACAAAGUGUACGAUUUGACCAAAUUUUUGGAGGAGCAUCCUGGUGGGGAGGAAGUCUUAAGGGAACAAGCUGGAGGUGAUGCUACUGAAAACUUUGAGGAUGUUGGACACUCUACAGAUGCGCGAGAAUUGUCCAAAACGUUUAUCAUUGGAGAGCUGCACCCAGAUGACAGAGCAAAGAUAACCAAGCCUGCGGAAAGUAUUAUUACUACCGUUGAUUCUAAUCCCAGCUGGUGGACCAACUGGCUGAUCCCAGCUAUCUCGGCACUGGUUGUAGCCCUGAUGUAUCACCUCUAUACUUCAGAAAACUAAAUGCAUUCUCAGAAGCCAGUGGAAGAAAAGACUGCUUUGGUCCGGGGAGAAAGAAGCCACCACUCUUAACUUUGACUGACAGAACCCUUCACCUGAAAAUAAUCUGAAUACACCUGUUUUCCUUUCCUCCUACAUUAGACACAAACCAAAACUGUUUCAUUCUUUCAACUACUGAACUUCUAGAGUGUGCCUUCUUAUUCGUCACCUUUGUUUUGAUGUUCCAUCACUACAUCAUUUGCUUAUUGUGGACAAGAUCUUUUAAAACAUACCACCAUGCUGAGCUGUCUGUUGGUAUAUAAUUGUCUUUCAUCUUUAGAAUCUGAUUACUUGGCAGUCAUUUAAUGCGCUUGUCUUUCAGACCCAAGUUGUCUGAGGUGAGGAGGGGUGUCCUUGGGUCAUUUCUUCUGCUGCUUCAUCUAAUUGAAUGAUCAGAUUUUUCAUGUUUUUAGUGUAGUUUUUUUUUUUUUUAAGGAAACUAAGGAAGGCCCAGAAAUAAUAGCUUAAAGAUUUCUAAUAAUUUUUCUACAAAAAACAACCGAAUAGAAAAUAAAAAGAGAAAGUGGCCUGCGAGACCUAGAAAAGAUGCUCUGUCUCAUCUUGGAUUAAAAACACCAGCAGUGUCAACAAGAAGCCUGAGAACCAUGAGACAACAUUGCUGCUGUCCCAUCUCUGAGCUUAAACAGUUUGCACAAAGCUUCUGAUUGCACAGAGAUCCUCAGCUGACAGUUUCUCAGGUUCUACAGACUCUCCUUCAAAGUGAAAACUGCUUUUGUGCCCCCAUAAGGAAAUCUUGAUUCCCUAAUCUGGCUUUUUUUGGGGGAGGGAUCUAACCAGCAUUUAUAGAAUAUUUUCUUCUACUACAUCAAAAUGAACACUUUUAAGCUCAGACGAAACUUUGAUUGAGGUAGACAACAUUGUGGGUCACAAUUCAAACUUAAGAGAAUCAUACAAAGCAUUUUCUUAGACUGUGAAUCAAUGAAGCUAGGCGGUAAUUAAAAAAAAAAA